rnacentral:lncRNA from 1 species
ACAGACUCCGUGGAUGCAUCAGACCAGUAGUUUAAACUCAAUUUCAUUACUCUGUUUCACUCGUACAAAGAACCAGUGCAACAAAUGAAAGGCGCCACAUGUAGCAAGAACCAGUGCAACAAAUGAAAGGCGCCACAUGUAGCUUGUGCAGUAACAACUACAGGUACUGCAACAAGCCAUACAACCAUCAACGUUGUCUGUGGUCUCGCUCACUGAGCAGAUCAUCCAUGUUGGUGCGAUGUAUCUAAAAUGCCUCAUGUAUCUUCUGUGGAAUAUUUGUCCAGAAAAACACUAACCCUGCGGAAAAUAACAACCUACUCAGGAUAAGAUUUUUUUUUUUGUAAGGUGAGCCAGUAUGAUAGUGUUCACAAGAACAUUGUAACCAAUGGUGCACCUUGACCAAGCCAAACUGGGAAUUACCAGAGCACGUGAACUUCAAAACGAAAGCCAUGUCACAUCAUCUAUCACCAUACAUUGUCCUAACGAAAUUGAGAUAUAUUUAACUCUUUGUUAUUCGAUAUUUUGGGUUAUUUGGCACCAUAUGUACUUUCCGGAGAGAAUGUGACCAAUAUUUAAAUAGAUGCUUCAACAGCAACAUAUUUUGGUGUUCUAUAAAAAAAUUGAUAGUGGAGCUUCCCUGGCAUUUCUUUUGUUAACCCAUCUUUUCUCAUUCAGGAUCCAAGCAGAUCUGGAGAAAACUGUUUCAAAAGUUUUGUUCGUGCAAAUUCACAGUUGUUCACAUUUCAAAAUGUAAUGAAGUUAUGAGCAAACAGUGCAAAGUCUGAUGUGUAAAUGUUAUAACAUUUUCAAGCACACUGAGAUAACUAUGAGUAAAUGUACAGCUCCAUGUGCAAUGAUUUUGAUAUCUUCACAUGUAACAAUAAAAUGAGAAAACAGUACAAGUUCCACAUGCAGGGAUGUUAUUACCUCUGCAAACAUGUUUCUACUCUGCAAGAUCAGAUUCAUCAUCGGCAUAUUUAGGAGCUGCGUUUCUAGGCAGGAAUUCUUCAUCAGGAUAAGUAUCUGUGAAUAACUGCAAGAAAAACAAUGAAAGGAAUUUAUAAGAUGAAGGGCAGAUGGUUGCAUGUGCCUUUUCUGUGUUCACAUCUCAUUAUGCUCGACAGAGCUAGAGACAUUAUCAAGUAAAUGAAGAGCUAAUCUCCAAACGUACAUCAGACACAACGAAAUUAACAAGAACUAGACGAAUUCACUCCAGCACUAUAUAGGUAUACUAGUUACUCUUUCUUCAAUGCAAACACCGUAAUGAAGCACUCGCUAUUGACAUGUACAAUUCAGUUCUGAAGCUUCCAUGAUGAGCCAGAAAGAAUCCUGGCCUGUAUCUCCUGCAAGUACAGAAAUGAGAAUAAAAUUUACCAACACAUAACGAACGCAAUACCUGUUUUGUUGAUUCCAGUAUAUCUCUGUAGUCCAGGUUUUCAUCAGGCAUGGGGCAUGACAAUACAGUACCAGAUGUUCCCUGAUAGUGGAAGACGGGACAAUGGAUGUCUUAAUACAAAUACAUACAGUAUAUGACAUCUUAACAGCACAUAUUUUUACUAGCGUUGAAAAUGAUCAAAUAAAUGCACCUGUGUGAUCUCUUGAACAUACACACAACUCCAGAUUAGCACUGGCUUUGUAUCCUCGAUGUUUUUGCUGGUUGUCUCCAAAUGGCCUUCUGAAUCAUCUGAAGUCUGAGUACUGAAAAGAACCUCCAUAGCCUUGUUUAUGUACUGCUUUCCCGUAAAGGCAUCGGUACAGGGAGUAGACAGAUAUACCAUGAACCUGCAAGGUGGAGAUCAGCUUGUAAGCAAAGUUGCCUGCCUAUAUGGUGACAAUUUCAAAUGCAGUUGUUCCUAUGUCAGAUGCAGAAAAGUAAACACUAACACUGCAUACGUAACUUACAUUCCAGGAGGGCAUACUGCUACAUUGCUGCUCAGCUGAAGCGCCCGAACAGCUGUAGCUUGCUGCUCUUGUAAUGCUAAAAUGAAGGAAACAAAUGAGAAGCAAAUCACUUAUUCAAGCAAUACAAACAUUAACAGAGGAGAAAUAACUGUCCUCACAUUUUGGGGGGAAAACAACCAGAACAUUUGAUGAAGCCUCUUUUAUGGAGCUGCUGAUUAUGCAUACUCCCCUGGCAACUUUUCUCGUCAAGUUUGAGUCUGAAGCAUCAGAUGGCAUGUCCAAUGAAGGAAUUUUGUAUGAGGGACCUAGUAUCAACUGCUGGCACAAAAUAUCCUGACCAGAAGCCAAUCUGGUGCCUAUAUAACGCUUCUUUUCCUGAUCAAGAGAAUGUUGAUUGUUGGGUGCUAUUCACAGAUUACAAAAUUGAUCGUGCAGAUCCCUAACUAAAGCAUGCGACAUCACUCAGAGGCAAAUAAACACUGAAAAUGAUCGCUGAUCUACUGAUUCUGGGAAUCGACCUAAUGCGUUCAAAUAUAUAAAAUGAGUCAGUAUCAUUCUUAUCCUGAGAGGAAAAAAAUAUCCCUUGCAUGUACUUGAAAUCAGGCUCUCCCUGACUGCUUUGCAGAUUGGACAAACACUUUGGCAGAACUGUUCUUGUUGAGCUCAGGACUGAGAUGCAUAACCAUGGUGGUUGCCAACAAAUUUUCACCAUCUAAAGAUGCAAAAAAAAGAAUUUUGCAGAUUGUUUUAUCUUUUUCCAGACUUUGAUAGUACAGGAGAAUCUAAUUAUGAUAACACUCCAUCUUUUCCCUCUUGAAGCAGCAGCAGCAGGUAAUUUUGCCAACUCUCUCUACUCUAUCUUUGCUGGAUCAAGUGGGUGUCAUAGAAUCCUAUGCCGAUUUGCAAUUUGUUGGUACACAUUUGAAGAUGACAGUAAAAUCUAUAAUGAAAAUAUAUAAAUACUGAGCAACAAAAAGGAAAGAUUAUAUUGUACAAUUGACUAUAUCAGACAGACAAACAUUGGCACGAACACGUCCAGCAUAGAGCUUAAAUUUUAUCAUACCUGGUCCACAAGAAGGGCUGUGACUGGCAUCCUCAACACCUGAUUGACAGAAGAGAGAUAUACCAGAGUCUAAGUAUUAAAAGAGUCACAAAAAAGACAAUAUAAUUGGCCAUGUUCUGGUUUAAAAGGGCAGGUCAUUCCAGCAGAGAGGUGUUAAACCCUUGGCCUACCACAUCAUCACUAUCAUCAUGUUCCAGUAGUAUAUGUAAGAUUUAUCAAAAAGAAAAAUAACAUAGCUGAGAAUAACAUCUUACAUAUAGGGCACCCUUAACAGCAGCAAAGCGACAGAAAGCUUGCGGUAGCUCGCCAUGCCCAUACAUAGGAUAAAUGAAAGCACCUUGGGCAUUAGCAAACCUGUUAAAGAUAAAAUGAGCACAUAUAGAAAAUUUAGACCACAGCAAGUCACAUAUAAAAUCACCACAUGUUAGACAUCUCUUAAGCUACACCAGACUAAACAGAUUACCCAACAAAGGUAUAUACAUCAUAGAAGAUAUGUCUUCUCAAAAGAGUACCAAAAAAGGAUCGAGUGAGCAAAGUGACCUCCCAAUGGACGAGGAAUAAAGAGCUAGCGUCUUCAUUCCAUCUCUCGUUGUUAGCAAUUUCUCGCAUGAGUCUGCAGCAUCUUGAUCAUAAUCUGCCAUGGCAAUUGCAUAUAGCACAACCCUAGAAACAAGACACAAAAGCCUAAAUCAGUCAAAUUGCUAAAAAAAUAGAGUACACUAUAACACUUGAGCAUGCUCUUACGCUCUAAUCUUGGGUUGAAGCUGCUGUUUCUUGAGGAAUUCGAUGAAGGGGAGGUCCAAGUCCUCCUCGGAUAUCUUACCAGAGGCUUCGCCCUCCCCAUCCUUAUCGCCAGGAGACGAUGCGGCAAUGUGUGACUGGACAAGCUUGAAGAAUCUGAACAAGAGGGUCUUCUCCUUCAGAUUAUCCCUAAGAUUAAGCUUCUCCUUAGACCGAUGUGUGCUGUCCAUGAAGAUGGCCUGCCUAGAGUCUGGCACCGGGCAGAGCGCACCAUCCCAGUAGAUGAGGCUGCCCCCUUCCACGCUCUUGAACUCCACAUGGUGGCUUCCCCCUGACCUCAGAAGAAGGUCCACGGCCUCGUCGGCGCAGUACAGAAGCCUGGGACCCACCAGGUCGACCGUGAAGCGCCUGGACGGUUCGGGAACCGUCCCCGAGGUCUCAACCUCCGAGUACAGACUGCGGCGCUUGAGAUCGACGGCGGUGUAUGCAGCGGUGGCGGAGGAGGACGCUGUGGUUGAGGACGGGCAGGGGGUGGAGGAGUCGGCGGAGAGGAAGGAGGGGACGGAAGGGAGCGGGAUGGAGGAGUAGAAGGAGCCGUAGAAGGCGUCGGGGUCGACGUGGAGGACGGUCUUCCCGGCGGCCGCGCAGGCAGCGGCGAGGAUGGACUCCGGGAGGCCGGUGCCGCAGAGGACCACGUCGAAAGAGGUUGGGUCGAUGGUUGGGUAGUCGUCCAGGGAACCGCCGCCGGCGGAGGCGUCAGCCAUGGUCAGCAGCGAAUCUCAAAAUCAGGUGGAGACGGAAAAUUCACAAGAUCUAGUGCGUGGAAGAAAGCAAGCGCGUCCACCUGCGCAUUCACUCAAACAGGUUGGAGGCACAGCUCAGUGCCAAGAUUAGAGCUGCCGGCGAGGCACCCUGCUGCUGCUAGCCACGCUACAAACUGUGGGAGGGGCGCGAGAGCGAGAAGACCGUACAGAGUCUGUUGGUUUGGGAAGGCGAGAGAUCGCCGCGAGUUCGAUUUGGGUUUUGGGAGGAUGGCGACGCAGAUGCUUUUCUUUCCCCGGUAUAAUGCUAGCCGGCAAAGGUUCUCUUGGAAGAAACUCACAGCCAACGCCUCGCAGUUGUUUGAUCGAGAUCAAAUGAUGGCAGUUUUUCAAAAGAAAAUGUUUUCUCUAUGAAGAAUUGACAUGCUAAGUGACAGUUUUAUUCAUCUUAUUGGGAGAGUAAUAAAGCGACUGAAGGUCUGGCGAGAAAAAUUCCUUUCGGAUGGCAAAGAAAUUUUAUUGAAAGCUGUUACCCAGUCUCUCUCUGUUUUUGUUAUGGCAGUUUUUAAUAUUUCCAAGAAGAUUUGUAAUCUCAUAAUAGAUGAAAUGUCUAGCUUUUGGUGGGGAGAUACUUUAGAAUAAAAGAGAGUGCAUUGAUGGGCAUGGUGGAAAAUGUGUGUACCAAAAAAGAAUGGAGGCAUGGGGUUAGAGUCUCGUUAUGUUAGCAAAGUAAAGUUGGAGGUUGAUCACAAAACCAAAUUCUUUAUGUGCAACUGUUCUCAGAGCUAAGUAUUACCCGAUGGAAAUUUACUGAAAGCGGGUCCGAAAAAGGAUCCUCUUUUACUUGGCGGAGCAUAAUAGUUAGGCUACGAGAGGACACAUAUGAAGAGUUCGUACUGGAGCAAAUAUCAACAUAUGGGAGGACCAUUAGAUGCCUAGCAGUCCGAAUAGGAAAGUAAUAACUGUAAAAGAACAAAGACUUGGACGCGGCUUUUUUGCUCCUAGGUGCAUAUGCACCCAUUGUCGAAAACACACAUUUAUAAAAGUUGAAAAAUUCGGAACAAAAAUCCCGCGUGUAUAUCCGGACAUUUUAUGUCCGUUCACAAGGUUUCGGUGAAAAACGACGUUUUUUGUGGCUUGUGUAAAAAAGAUAAAGAAAUGCCUGCCUCGUGAAUAGUUAGAAUGAAGCAUCAGAAAUUGUCUUUUUUACACAAGCCACAAAAAACGUCGUUUUUCACCGAAACCUUGUGAACGGACAUAAAAUGUCCGGAUAUACACGCGGGAUUUUUGUUCCGAAUUUUUCAACUUUUCGAAAUGUGUAUUUCGACAAUGGGUGCAUAUGCACGUAGGAGCAAAAGGGAAUAUCCGCAAAGACUUCUACAAAAUGUAGAUGAUUUAAUUGAUCCCUAUACAUGACUGUGGAUGAGGCUCUGACUAGAGAUAAUUUUAUUUGGGUGGAUGCAGAAAGAAUUUUAAAAAUCCCCUUGAGCAUGAACAUGCACUACUGAAAUCUGGCAUUUUGCCGUCUGCCUCCUCUUUGCCGUCUGCCAGCUGAAGAUUUUGUGGCAUGGCGGUAUACAAAGUCGUUCUCAUUCUCGGUCUGAUCAGCUUACUAUGUUGAAUUGGAACAUCAAUUUGGUGCUCAAACUAGGCAGGGUGAUGGCUAAGGAGCUAUGAAUGCAAACCUGGUAUGGGAUAUUUUGUGGAAGUUACAAAUUCCAAACAAGGUGAAAUUUUUCGCAUGGCGUGCUUUACAUGGUAUUGUCCCGGGGAUGUCGAUCUUAGCAAAUGGACACAUCAAGGUACAACCCCAAUACCCAGUAUGCAAGCAAGGGCCGGAAGAUAUGUGGCAUCUGAUGUUUGCACGUGAAAGAGCAAAAGAAGUAUGGAAGAAAUUCGGGUUACAUGACACGAUAGGCAAAGUCAUUCAUAUUGAUAGGUCAGGUAGUGUGAUCCUUGAAGAAUUACUCACGCAGCUUGGGAGACAGCCGCCUGUUCUCGGUAGGUUGGGAUUCCGAGAGUCUUUGGUGUUCCGGGCAUGGUAUAUAUGGUGGCAGCGACGAGAAUUUGUUAAGGGCAAGAACGUUCAGAAACCGGAUGAAGUUAUGUGGGUGAAACCUCAUGUCAAUUCUUAUAAACUAAAUGUUGAUGCCGCUUUUUGAAGAUGGAAUGGGUGCAGCAGCGGCAAUUCUUCAAAACAGACACAGAGAGGCUCUUGCAGGAGCAUCCUGGCUGUUGCAUCAUCUCCUUGAUGCAACAACAGCGGAAGCAAUGGCUAUUCAGUGAGAACUAGAGUUCGUUGAAGGACUUGGCUGUCAACAAGUCAUUGUUGAAUCUGACUAGCUGGAAGUUAUUCAAGCAUGCAAUGGCGUGAACGAGAUUUGGAGCCGCUAUACUGCUAUUUUGGCUGAUUGUUUUCAAAAAGCAUAUUGUAUUGGUGUGGUAUCCUUUGCUCAUUAUCCUAGGGAGGCUAAUAGAUUAGCGCACAACCUUGCUAGACAUAGUUUCAAUUUAAAUUCUACUUUUAUUUUGGAUGGUGAUCCUCCCAGCUUUUACUUCCAGACAUCAUGGACGAUGUAACUUUGAUUUGAUUUUAAUUAAGUGCACUAGGUGGCUUUCCCCUAAAAAAUGUCAUGGGAAACGUUCGCAAAUGCCAACCCCCAACGAAGUUUGGUAACGAAGAUGGUCCCUUUUUUUUAAUCAAGAGCUUUCAUUAAUUAAUCAGUGGGCUUAAUCAUUUUGCAGAUAAACAACUAGAAACUAGGUAUAAAAUUGAUCCAAAGAUAUAUUCUACUAGCAGAAGCCUGCUUGGCACACGAUGUGCCCCUUCAUUAGCCUCAUGUUCAAUGAAGUUCACUUGGAAAAAAAUUCAAGUUGCCGCUGAGCUCUUCAAUCUCUUUGAGAAUCGAUGCAAUUUCAGUUCAACCCUGAUCCCGACCCCUCCACAACUUUACUACCUCGCUCGCAUCAAUUUUCUACCGUGAUGUUGCCAAGACCUAGAUCACAAGCGAGCUUGAUUCUGUUCCUGACAGCAAGGGCCUCCACGAUUAAAGAGUUGGCAGUUUGAACAUACCAUGACACUUGGCCUCUGAUCAAGAAUCUAGCAUGGCCUUGUAAGACCGGUAUCGUAGCUCUCUAUUUUUACGUCGACACAAAGCCAGCAUGCACGUAAGACCGUAAGCUUUGAUAUAAACUCCACUAUAAGCACUAACACCAUGGAAUUGACCAUCUCAGGAAUUUGUCCCUCUUCAAAUAAAUUCCUCACUUCCAAACACACAUAUUAUAUAUUAGUACAUUCCAAUGAUGGAUGUAAAAAUUGAUUGUGAAUCCAUCGGGGCCUAGUGAUAUAUCUGGGAGCAUCAUCAAAGUUUGUUGUUCAUUGCAUCUGAAAGGAUUGAUAUAGUUGACUAGAGGGGGGGUGAAUAGGCAACUAACAAUUUUAGCUUUUCUUUACCAAAUUAAACAUUGCAUCAAAGUAGGUUGUCUAGAUAUGCAACUAGGUGAGCAACCUAUAUGAUGCAACAACAACAAGCACACAAGCAAGCAAGGGAUACAACACAAUAUAAGCUUGCACAAGUAAAGGUAAGAUAUAACCAAGAGUGGAUCCGGUGGAGACGAGGAUGUGUUACCGAAGUUCCUUCCCUUUGAGAGGAAGUACGUCUCCGUUGGAGCGGUGUGGAGGCACAAUGCUCCCCAAGAAGCCACUAGGGCCACCGUAUUCUCCUCACGCCCUCACACAAUGCAAGAUGUCGUGAUUCCACUAUUGGUUCCCUUGAAGGUGGCGACUGUCGGUGUCAAAACUGGCAGAUCUCGGGUAGGGGGGUCCCGAACUGUGCGUCUUAGGAUCGAAGGUAACAGGAGACGGGGACACGAUGUUUACCCAGGUUCGGGCCCUCUUGAUGGAGGUAAUACCCUACUUCCUGCUUGAUUAUCUUGGAUGAAUAUGGGGUUACAAGAGUUGAUCUACAUCAAGAUCGUAAUGGCUAAACCCUAGAUGUCUAGCCUGUAUGGUUAUGAUUAUGAUCAUGAGAGCCUCUACGGACUAAACCCUCCGGUUUAUAUAGACACCGGAGGGACCUAGGGUUGUAUAGAGUCGGUUUCCAGAGGAAGGAAUCUUCAUAUCCGAACGCCAAGCUUGCCUUCCACGCAAAGGAGAGUCCCAUCCGGACAAGAAGUCUUCUAUCUUGUAUCUUCACAGCCCAUUAGUCCGGCCCACAUCACACAGACCAGACGCCCGAGGACCCCUUAAUCCAGGACUCCCUCAGUAGCCCCCGAACCAGGCUUCAAUGACGAUGUGUCCGACGCGCAGAUUGUCUUCGGCAUUGCAAGGCGGGUUCCUUCUCCGAAUACUUCAAAGCAUCUGUCCCGAAGAGUUAUACUCGGCUUUUCAUUUAAUGUUACACCCUUUGACUUCUGCGCCUCCAUUCAUUCUGUUUCCACGUGUCGAGCGAAUACAAAAGGUCAAAGUAUUUUUUGCACAUAACACCCUGGCCAUAUAAGAAAGGCGUCUAUUUAAAUGGAUUGGAUCUCAGAUGUCAUUCCACAUCAGGCGGAAAAUCCUUAGAGCUUGCUAGGGGAAACCAUUCAAACAUGGCUAGCGCUCCCAGUUCUUCCUCCCGCCCCCAUGGCUUCGAAAAAGGUGAUUGGGAGAGAUGUUCAGUAUCCCAUGACCAGCUGAGUAAGCUUCAAACGCAGGGAUUCCUCCCCCCCGGAUCUAGUCCCUGUUCGGGCAGGAUUAACCUCUUUUACCGGCGAAGCCCUGGCGGAAAAUUUCCCCAAUCCAACCAGGGGGGAGCGAGUGUGCUUCGUAUCCUUCUUAUUAAGAGGCGUCGGAUUUCCAAUCCACCCUUUCCUCCGAGGUCUCCUGGAGUACUACGGCCUCCAACUGCACAAUUUCACACCGGCCUCCAUCCUGCACAUCGCGGGUUUUGUCGCUCUUUGCGAGCUAUUCUUGGGCUGCGAGGCCCAUUUUGAAUUAUGGAGGAAGCUUUUCUGCCUCGUCCCUCGCACCCAAAAGAGAUCUGUAUUCGAGGUGGGCGGCGCCGAGAUAUGGCGCAUAGCCGGGACCGGAUACCUGUCCGGCACGCCGAAGAAGGCAUCCGAAGAGUGGCCCUCGGAGUGGUUUUAUAUUGAAGAUGUCGCCCUCCCCGACCCAGUUCGAAUGGGCCUUCCCGAAUUUUCCAGCGCUCCAUUGAAGAAACGCCACAGCUGGCGCCCUCGGAGCCUCGAGGAGGAAGAUAGCACAGAAGUCCAACAAAUAAUGGGAAAUAUAAGGACACUCACCCAGUCCGGAUUAUCAAUAAUCGAGGUAAUGGCGAUUUCCAUAGCGCGGGGUGUUCAGCCACUCCAAUUCAGAGGGCUCCCCAUGUGGCACUAUAAUGGGGAAGAUGACGCCUCACGCUACAGAUGAAAGGGUCCAGACACCCUUGCCGCCCUGGCCACAAUAUUGGCCGAUCUAUACAAAGGGGAGAAAGAGGAGUUCACUCGUCUUAAGCGCCGAGAGGGAUUUUCCAUGUAUAAUCCUCCAAACUGGGUGAGUUUUAUUCCCACCACCUUACUCAAUCCUCUCCCUGAGUUAUGUUUGAUUGACAACCCGUCCAUUUUGAAUAGGAAUGGUGGAAGGCUGUCGCAGGGAUCCAUAGCCCCGCUCCACAGCCGGAGGACCAUAACUAGGACCUCGACCCCGGAUACGAAGAGGAUCCGGACAUAUUUGUAGAGCUCAAGGAGGGAGUCUUCUACCAGGUGAGCUAUGAUGGCACAGAAGUGGCCAUCGUGGCCGAUUAUCCUGGCCUCCUUCCUGUUUCAUAUGUAAGUAGUCAGGAGACACCUCCUCCAAAUGAACUUCCUCAUUAUGCCUCACCCGCGGCACUGUCUCGUGCUCCAAAGGGGAAGCGCUCGGUGCGCCAUGCUACACCAGAGGCGUCUCAUAAGAGAGUGGCUCCUGCGCCGGACGGGUCUUCGAAGAGGAAGGCGAAUGACAACACGGCCGAGCCUUCAUCCAAGAGGUAUGACAUUAAAUAUGCCCUCUGGCCGUCACAUCGAACUGUGACAUUGUCCGCUGUGUUUUAUCAGGAAGAGUAUUCGCCGAACUAUGUCCGGGGAUCCUGCCAAUCGUGCCUCCACCCAUCAGGUUCCAGACCCUGCCCCUAGGGCGGGGGCUGACACGGGAGUGACGCCGGACUGUCCUCCCUCAAAGGAUUCGGAUGAUGUAUCUGUCACAAACUCUGAAGUAGAGAGCGCCAUGAAUCAUCGGCGCCGGAGGGCCGCUCUUCGCGACCCUAGAUUUACUAAAGAGGCAUUCAACGCCUUCUGCUCGGCUGAUGCGUACAUCCGAGCUGCUCGAGAUGGGCUUGUCAGAGCCACCGACCAGCAUUUGAAAGAUAUGCGGGUAAGUACGCAUUGUACAAAUCUGGUAAUCAUAUACCAGUAGCCCUCGAGACUUGAAGUUGUUUGAAACAACUGAUUUAAGGAUCGUUGUAUAAUCAAGCACUCAUGGAGAAGAACAACAUGUUGUCUCAUGAGCUGGAGAAGUGUCGGACCCAGCUAGCUGUUGUUACCGCCGAACUGGAGAAAACCAAGGAGGCACCGCCUGGUAAUGUUCCCCUCCAUCCAGAAAAAUAUAAUCAUAUACCAGUAAUGUUAAUACUGUCAUAUUUCUCAUGGCAGGAUCGUUAGAUCAACUGAAAGAGGAACUCAAGGUCGCACAGGCGGGUAAACAACAGGCCGAAAGGCAACUGGCCGCUGGCGAACGUGUGUUGACGCGGACCAGGGAUGAUAAGAACAAGCUGCAGGAUUCCAACACCCAACUGGGCGAGGAGCUAAAAGACAUGCGAGCCCAGCUAGUGGACGCCGUAAAAGAAAACAGGAGGCUACGGGGCGGCAUAUUCAGUAUGCUUUUGAACUUACCUUUGUGUAGUGCGGUAAAGAAAUGAGUUAACAGAUUUAUGUCUGCAGGUAUGCUGACUGGCCGUCCCAAAGAGGAAAUGUCCGGAUCCCAAGGCGAUCUGCUACAAGAGCUGUCCCAAGUGCACGAUCGAGCGCGGAAAGCAAUGCGGAGUGUAGCUAAGGCUUUAUGGCCAUCCGUAUCUCCUCCAGGAAGUAUGGAGGAGCUUGUGGAGCUAUUCAAGGGAGCUCGGCGCCGCUUUAAAUUAUGGAAGAUAUCAGCCUGCCGGGAAGGCACGCGAGAGGCCUGGGCCAUGGUGAAAACGCGGUACACUGGACUUGAUCCGAAUCAUAUGGCCCGGGUCGGACCUCAAGGGUCAGAUGGACAAGAGAUUCCUAUGAGCUUGGUGUAUGACCAAGUAAACAUAGCCGCCAAGUUUUCACAACAGGAUUGUAAGCUAGACAACCUGUUAGAUGGUAUAGAGGAAGAAGUUUUUGAGUCCAAGUGACUAUGUACUUCAAUUGACAAAUUUUGUCCCUAGACGAAUUGUAAAACCAUUGUCAUGGCAGACCUUUUCGCUUCAACCUCCAGACCCAAAGGUGCGGAGCGUUUCCGAAUCCCGGACCGGUGAUAAAUACCGGGGCAUGCGUGCAAACCAGGCGUAGGGAUCAUAGUUGCUUGAACAGACAAGUUGUAUCUGGCUAGCUAUGUUAUAUUACUUAUUGAUUGUAAGAAACAUCUUCCAGAGAGAAUAGUUCCGUUAAGGGUUCCUUUCCCUGGGUGAACAUGCGUUAGUAUGCAUGCCCAAACUGUGAUUCGAAAAAUCGCAGUAUACGUAACAUCUGGGGAUUCAUAGUUCAACGAGGGUAAAACGUCUUUAGUCCGCUGACCGAUUAUUCCCUUAAGAAUGCUAGCUUUCGGCUUCACCCAGUCUGAGGUACAAGUCUGGAUGACCCGGUUAUAACAAUCGCAGAGGUGCUCCCUUUAUGCACUAGCCGAACAAAUGGGAACGUACGGCAUAAGCACAGGAGCCAGGCAACCCAGCUUGGCAAAAACUUAAGUCAUAAAGGUGCAUAUAAUGGCGAAGAAAAGGUACAUAUGAGGAAAGGACGCAUAUGUUGCGAGCUUGAUGCUCAGAAAAUGAUAAUAAGCUUCUAUAAAAGAAGCCCCCAGGUAUUAUGGGCGUGUACAUUUAAGGAUGUGUACCUCAUAAGUGUGUGGUCUAGCCGCACAAGGGCUGUAAAGCUAAAAAAAGUUAAAGAGAGAAAAAACAGAAAGAGGAGAAAGGAAAACGAACAGUGAGUCCGGCUCUAGGCGUAGAAUCUUUGGAGUCUGGCGGCAUUCCACGGGUUCGGCUUUAAACGAUUAUCCGAUGCAUCACGCAGGCGGUGCGCACCUCCAGUGAGAACUUCUUCUAUAAUGAAGGGACCCUCCCACUUGGGCUUGAGUUUGUCCUUUUUCUUUUCUGGCAAGCAUAGAACGAGUUCACCAACAUUAUAAGUCUUGGCCCGUACUUCUCUGCUUUGGUAUCUGCAAGCCUGUUGUUGAUAGAAUGCGGAACGGGCUUUUGCAACGUCGCGCUCCUCCUCCAGGGCAUCUAGACUGUCCUGCCGAUCAAGCUCGGCUUCUCUCUUUUCAUACAUGCGCACUCGAGGUGAGUCAUGAAUGAUGUCGCAGGGCAAAAUAGCCUCUGCGCCGUACACCAUGAAGAAUGGUGUGUAUCCGGUAGUGCGAUUGGGCAUGGUCCGCAGCCCCCAGAGCACAGAGUCGGGCUCCUCGACCCAGUGCUUGUCCAACUCUUUUAAAGACCGCACUAGUCUGGGCUUAAUGCCGCUCAUGAUAAGACCAUUAGCUCGUUCGACUUGACCAUUUGUUUGUGGGUGAUAGAUGGAGGCAUAAUCGAGCUUGAUGCCCAGAUUAGCACACCACGUUUUCACUUCAUCGGCUGUAAAAUUGGAGCCGUUAUCGGUGAUGAUGUUGUGUGGGAUGCCAUAACGGUGUACGACACCGGAUAUAAAGUCUAUCACUGGUUCGGCUUCGGCCGUUUUAACUGGUUUGGCCUCUAUCCACUUAUGGCCAGCAGAUAUUUUUUCUGAUGGCUUCCCCCUUUAAGGGGUCCGACCAUAUCAAGCCCCCAGACCGCGAAAGGCCAAGUAAUGGGGAUUUUUUGUAGAGCAGUAUGCGGCAUAUGGCUUUGAUUGGAGAAAAGCUGGCAUCCUACACAACGUUGGACAAGGUCAUGUGCAUCUGCUCGGGCCGUCGGCUAGAAAAAGCCGGUAUGGAAGGCUUUACUUACAAGAGCCCGAGCUGCGGCGUGGUGACCGCCGAGACCAGCAUGUAUUUCGGCCAGGAGUUGCCGUCCUUCUUCUUCGAAGAUACAUCUUAGAAGGACUCUGGUAGCGCUCUUCUUGUAGAGCUCUCCUUCAUGAACUUUGUAGGCUUUCGAACGUCGAACAAUGCAUCGAGCCUCAUUCUGAUCCUCAGGGAGCUCUCGCCUAUUGAGGUAGGCCAAGAAGGGUUCAGUCCAUGGGGCAAUUACUGCCAUUAUUAGAUGGGCCAAUGGUGUUAUUUCGGUGGCUGAGCCCCCGAUGAUAUCGGUAUUGUGCUCGGAAUUUGGGGGUAUAAUCGGAUCCGGACUAGUGUUGUCGUUCUCGUCCUGCCACACCACGGAUGGCUUGAAGAGCCUUUCGAAAAAGAUGUUAGGCGGGAUGGGGUCAUGCUUGGUGCCCAUGCGAGCAAGGACAUCCGCCGCUUGAUUACUUUCUCGAGCCACAUGAUGAAACUCGAGACCCUCGAACUGAGCUGAUAUUUUGAGUACGGCGUUACGAUAGGCCGCCAUCUUCGGAUCUUUGGCAUUGAAGUCUCCGUUUAUUUGGGAUAUUGCGAGAUUAGAAUCCCCGCGCACCUCCAGGCGUUGUAUGACCAUGGAGACAACCAUCCGAAGACCAUGCAAUAAGGCCUCGUAUUCGACUGCGUUAUUGGAGUCUGUGUAUAAUAUUUGGAGUACGUACUGGACUAUGUCUCAUGUGGGGGACGUUAAUACAACGCCCGCUCCUAGACCGGCCAGCAUUUUAGAGCCAUCGAAGUGCAUAACCCACUUGGAAUAUGUACCGUACUCUUUAGGGAGUUCGGCCUUUGUCCAUUCGGCGACAAAGUCAGCCAAUACUUGGGAUUUAAUGGCUCGGCAUGGUUUGUAUGUUAUAUCAAAUGGCAAGAGCUCAAUGGCCCACUUGGCAAUCCGGCCUGUAGCGUCGCGGUUGUUUAUGAUAUCAUUAAGUGGUACUUCGGAAGCCACCGUGAUCGAGCACUAUUGGAAGUAGUGCCGUAGCUUCCGGGAUGCCAUGAAGACCGCAUAUGCUAUCUUUUGGUAAUGAGGGUACCGGGAUUUGCAUGGUGUGAGAACAGUGGAUACAUAGUAUACCGGUUUCUGAAGUGGGAAUUUAUGUCCAUCCUCCUCUCGUUCAAUGACGAGCACCGCACUCACCACCUGGUGACUUGCAGAGAUGUAUAAUAACAUGGGUUUGCCGAUGUUCGGCGCGGCCAGGAUUGGGUUGCUUGCUAAAAGAGCUUUUAUUUCUUCCAGUCCGGCCAUUGCCGCGUCCGUCGGGUGAACUUGAAAUUUGACUAUCUCGUCAGCUGGUUUGAAGGAGGUGGAUUUGGGCCGCUUAUCAAGGAUUACAUCGUCCCUAUCCACCGUGGAGCGUAGUGCGGUUAAUUCUUCGGCUGCAAGGGCCUCGGAUAGUGCCUCGAGGGCCAGGGAUGCGGUUUUGUUUUUGGCGCGGAGUGCUAUGUCCGGAUCACUGGCGAGAGUGAUAAUACCGUUGGGCCCGGGCAUCUUGGAAGGUUAUCUCUUCGGACCAAUAGUUCUCCGGCGUGCCGAAUACCACGUCGAGUUUGAUUUUUCCCGUGCAUCUUGCUUCCCGACUGGGGAUGAUUCCUCGAAAGGUCGUAUUACUUUGUUCGAUGCAGCUCCUGUCUAUUUGCAUUUUAUUGAGCGUGUCCUCGUAGAUGAGGUUCAGACCGCUGCUGCCGUCCAUGAGCACUUUAGUGAGCCGAAAGCCAUCCACAAUUGGAUUGAGGACCAGGGCGGCUGGUGCCCGGACUGGCCGGAAUUUUGGUUCGUCAUCGGCAUUAAAAGUUAUGGCUGUGUCAUUCCAGGGGUUUAUUGCUGCGACUUGGCAGACUUCGACGAGGUCACGGAGCGCCCUCUUGCGCCGAUUGUUUGAAGCGAAAGUCUCGAAGACCAUGAAUACACUGAGGUCGUCGUCUUCCGGAGAGUACUGCUCUGAGGUGUUUUUGGUGAGGAUAUCCUCACCGCUCUUAGCCACUUGCCGGAGUAUCCAACAUGCUCUGAGGCUGUGGGUUGGUUCAGUAUCCGGUGUUGUGUGUAUUUUGCAUGGCUUAUCGAGCCAUCCCUCAAGAACGGUUCCUCGUCCCGUAAUGGGUUUAAUCUUCUUGCCUACGGGGUCGGCUGCUCCGCGAGGGUGCAUCCUUUUUGCCCGCCAGGGAGGCGGCGUGAAGGCCGGUGGUUCUGUUGGAAAUAUGCCCUAGAGGCAAUAAUAAAAUGGUUAUUAUUUUAUUUCCUUGUUCAUGAUAAUUGUCUAUUGUUCAUGCUAUAAUUGUAUUAACUGGAAACCGUAAUACAUGUGUGAAUACAUAGACCACAACAUGUCCCUAGUAAGCCUCUAGUUGACUAGCUCGUUGAUCAAUAGAUGGUUAUGGUUUCCUGACCAUGGACAUUGGAUGUCAUUGAUAACGGGAUCACAUCAUUGGGAGAAUGAUGUGAUGGACAAGACCCAAUCCUAAGCAUAGCACAAGAUCGUGUAGUUCAUUUUGCUAGAGCUUUUCUAAUGUCAAGUAUCAUUUCCUUAGACCAUGAGAUUGUGCAACUCCCGGAUACCGUAGGAAUGCUUUGGGUGUACCAAACGCCACAACGUAACUGGGUGGCUAUAAAGGUGCACUACAGGUAUCUCCGAAAGUGUCUGUUGGGUUGGCACGAAUCGAGACUGGGAUUUGUCACUCCGUAUGACGGAGAGGUAUCUCUGGGCCCACUCGGUAAUGCAUCAUCAUAAUGAGCUCAAUGUGACUAAGGAGUUAGCCAUGGGAUCAUGCAUUACGGAAUGAGUAAAGAGACUUGCCAGUAACGAGAUUGAACAAGGUAUAGGGAUACCGACGAUCGAAUCUCGGGCAAGUAACAUACCGAUAGGCAAAGGGAAUUGUAUACGGGAUUGAUUGAAUCCCCGACAUCGUGGUUCAUCCGAUGAGAUCAUCGUGGAACAUGUGGGAGCCAACAUGGGUAUCCAGAUCCCGCUGUUGGUUAUUGGCCGGAGAACGUCUCGGUCAUGUCUGCAUGGUUCCCGAACCCGUAGGGUCUACACACUUAAGGUUCGAUGACGCUAGGGUUAUAGGGAAUAGAUAUAUGUGGUUACCGAAUGUUGUUCGGAGUCCCGGAUGAGAUCCCGGACGUCACGAGGAGUUCCGAAAUGGUCCGGAGGUAAAGAAUAAUAUAUAGGAAGUGAGGUUUUGGCCACCGGAAGAGUUUUGGGCGUCACCGGUAAUGUACCGGGACCACCGGAGGGUUCCGGGGGUCCACCGGGAGGGGCCACCAACCCCGAGGCCUGCGUGGGCCAAGUGUGGGAAGGGACCAGCCCCUAGGUGGGCUGGUGCGCCUCCCACAAGAGGCCCAAGGCGCAUGGAAAGGGGGAAGGGGGAAAACCCUAGGCUCAGAUGGGCCUAAGGCCCACCUAGGGUGCGCCCCCCUCUCUCCCCCUCUUGGCCGCCCCCUCCAUCCAAUCUAGGGCUGGCCGCCACCCCUAGGGAGAACCCUAGAUGGGGGCGCAGCCCCUCCCCUUCCCCUAUAUAUAGUGGGGUUUUUGGGGCUGCAGAAGACACGAGUCUCCCUCUCUCUUGGCGCAGCCCUACCCCUCUCCCUCCUCGUCUCUCGCAGUGCUUGGCGAAGCCCUGCUGGAGUGCCACGCUCCUCCAUCACCACCAUGCCGUUGUGCUGCUGCUAGACGGAGUCUUCCCAAACCUCUCCCUCUCUCCUUGCUGGAUCAAGGCAUGGGAGACAUCACCGGGCUGCAUAUGUGUUGAUCGCGGAGGCACCGUUGUUCGGUGCUUAGAUCGGAUUCGGCCGCGAUCUGAAUCGCUUCGUGUACGACUCCACCAACCGCGUUCUUGCAACGCUUCCGCAUCGCGAUCUUCAAGGGUAUGAAGAUGCACUCCCCUCUCUCUCUUUGCUAGUUAAUCCAUAGAUUGAUCUUGGUGAUGCGUAGAAAAUUUUGAAUUUCUGCUACGUUCCCCAACAGUGGCAUCAUGAGCUAGGUCUAUGCGUAGAUUCUAUGCACGAGUAGAACACAAAGUAUUUGUGGGCGAUGAUUUGUUCAGUUUGCUUGCCAUUACUAGUCUUAUCUUGAUUCGGCGGCAUUGUGGGAUGAAGCGGCCCGGACCGACCUUACACGUACUCUUACGUGAGACAGGUUCCACCGACUAACAUGCACUUGAUGCAUAAGGUGGCUAGCGGGUGUCUGUCUCUCCCACUUUAGUUGGAUCAGAUUCGAUGAAAAGGGUCCUUAUGAAGGGUAAAUAGCAAUUGGCAUAUCAUCGUUGUGGCUUUUGCGUAGGUAAGAAACGUUCUUGCUAGAAACCCAUAGCAGCCACGUAAAACAUGCAACAACAAUUAGAAGACGUCUAACUUGUUUUUGCAGGGUAUGCUAUGUGAUGUGAUAUGGCCAAAAGGAUGUGAUGAAUUAUAUAUGUGAUGUAUGAGAUUGGUCAUGUUCUUGUAAUAGGAAUCACGACUUGCAUGUCGAUGAGUAUGACAACCGGCAGGAGCCAUAGGAGUUGUCUUAAUUUAUUGUAUGACCUGCGUGUCAAUGAAAACGCCAUGUAAUUACUUUACUUUAUUGCUAACCGUUAGCCAUAGUAGUAGAAGUAAUAGUUGGCGAGACAACUUCAUGAAGACACGAUGAUGGAGAUCAUGGUGUCAUGCUGGUGACGAAGGUGAUCAUGCCGCGCCUCGAAGAUGGAGAUCAAAGGCGCAAGAUGAUAUUGGCCAUAUCAUGUCACUUUAUGAUUUGCAUGUGAUGUUUGUCAUGUUUACAUCUUAUUUGCUUAGAACGACGGUAGCAUAAAUAAGAUGAUCCCUCACUAAAAUUUCAAGAGAUGUGUUCCCCCUAACUGUGCACCGUUGCGAAGGUUCGUUGUUUCGAAGCACCACGUGAUGAUCGGGUGUGAUAGAUUCUAACGUUCGCAUACAACGGGUGUUGACGAGCCUAGCAUGUACAGACAUGGCCUCGGAACACAAGCAAAACACUUAGGUUGACUUGACGAGCCUAGCAUGUACACACAUGGCCUCGGAACACAAGAGACCGAAAGGUCGAACAUGAGUCGUAUAGUAGAUACGAUCAACAUGGAGAUGUUCACCGAUGAUGACUAGUCCGUCUCACGUGAUGAUCGGACACGGCCUAGUCGAUUUGGAUCAUGUAUCACUUAGAUGACUAGAGGGAUGUCUAUCUAAGUGGGAGUUCAUUAAAUAAUCAGAUGAACUUAAUUAUCAUGAACAUAGUCAAAAGGUCUUUGCAAAUAAUGUCGUAGCUUACGCUUUAGUUCUACUAAGAUAUGUUCCUAGAGAAAAUUUAGUUGAAAGUUGAUAGUAGCAAUUAUGCGGACUGGGUCCGUAAACUGAGGAUUGCCCUCAUUGCUGCAUAGAAGGCUUAUGUCCUUAAUGCACCGCUCGGUGUGCUGAACCUCGAGCGUCGUUUGUGGAUGUUGCGAACAUCUGACAUACACGUUUUGAUGACUACGUGAUAGUUCAGUGCGUAAUGUUGAACGGUUUAAAAUUGUGGCACCAAAGACGGUUUUGAAACGUCGCAGAACAUAUGAGAUGUUCCAAAGACUGAAAUUGGGAUUUCAGACUAGUGCCACGUCAAGAGGUAUGAGACCUCUGACAAGUUUCUUAAGCCUGCAAACUAAGGGAGAAAAGCUCAAUCGUUGAGCAUGUGCUCAGAUUGUCUGAGUACUACAAUCACUUGAAUCGAGUGGGAGUUAAUCUUCCAAAUGAGAUAGUGAUGGUUCUCCAUAGUCACUGCCACCAAGCUAUUAGAGCUUCACGAUGAACUAUAACAUAUCAGGGAUAGACAUGAUGAUCCUUGAGCAACUCGCGAUGUUUGACACCGCGAAAGUAGAAAUCAAGUAGGAGCAUCAAUUGUUGAUGGUUAGUAAAACCACUAGUUUCUAGAAGGGCAAGGGCAAGAAGGGAUACUUCAUGAAACGGCAAAUCAGUUGCUGCUCUAGUGAAGAAACCCAAGGUUGAACCCAAACCCGAGACUAAGUGCUUCUGAAAUGAGGGGAACGGUCACUGAAGCAGAACUACCCUAGAUACUUCGUAGAUGAGAAGGCUGGCAAGGUCGACAGAAGUAUAUUGGAUAUACAUUAUAUUAAUGUGUACUUUACUAGUACUCCUAGUAGCACCAGGGUAUUAGAUACCGGUUCGGUUGCUAAGUGUUAGUAACUCGAAAUAAAAGCUGCGGAAUAAACGGAGACUAGCUAAAGGUGAGAUGACGAUAUGUGUUGGAAGUGUUUCCAAGGUUGAUGUGAUCAAGCAUCGCAUGCUCCCUCUACCAUCGAGAUUGGGGUUAAACCUGAAUAAUUGUUAUUGGGUGUUUGCGUUGAGCAUAGACAUGAUUGGAUUAUGUUUAUCGCAAUACGGUUAUUCAUUAAAGGAGAAUAAUGGUUACUCUAUCUAUUUGAAUAAUACCUUCAAUGGUAUUGCACCUAAAAUGAAUGGUUUAUUGAAUCUCGAUCGUAGUGAUACACAUGUUCAUGCCAAAAGAUAUAAGAUAGUAAUGAUAGUACCACAUACUUGUGGCACUGCCACUUGAGUCAUAUUGGUAUAAAACGCAUGAAGAGGCUCCAUGUUGAUGGAUCUUUGGACUCACUCGUUUUUGAAAAGAUUGAGACAUGCGAACCAUGUCUAUUAGUAUAUAUGCAUGAAGAAAGUCCAUACAGAUGGAUCAUUUGGACUCACUUGAUUUUGAAUCACUUGAGACAUGCAAAUCAUACCACAUGGGCAAGAUGACUGAAAGGCCUCGUUUUCAGUAAGAUGGAACAAGAGAACAACUUGUUGGAAGUAAUACAUUUGAUGUGUGCAGUCUAAUGAGUGCUGAGGCACGCAGUGGAUAUCGUUAUGUUCUUACUUCACAGAUGAUUUGAGUAGAUGCUGAGAAUAUUUACUUGAUGAAACACAAGUCUGAAUUAUUGAAAGGUUCAAGUAAUUUCAGAGUGCAGUUGAAGAUCGUCGUGACAAGAGGAUAAAAUGUCUGUGAUAUGAUCAUAGAGAUGAAUAUCUGAGUUACGAGUUUGGCACACAAUUAAGAAAUUGUGGAAAUUGUUUCACGACUAAUACCGCCUGGAACACCAUAUUGUGAUGGUGUGUCCGAACAUCAUAACUGCACCCUAUUGGAUAUGGUGCAUACCAUGAUGUCUCUUAUCGAAUUAAAACUAUCAUUUAUGGGUUAGGCAUUAGAGACAACCGCAUUCACUUUAAAUAGGGCACCACGCAAUUCCGUUGAGACGACACCGUAUGAACUAUGGUUUAGAGAAACCUAAGCUGUUGUCUCUUAAAAGUUUGGGGCUGCGACGCUUAUGUGAAAAAGUUUCAGGCUGAUAAGCUCGAACCCAAAGCGGAUAAAUGCAUCUUCAUAGAAUACCCAAAACAGUUGGGUAUACCUCCUAUUUCAGAUCUGGAAGCAAAAGUGAUUGUUUCUAGAAACGGGUCCUUUCUCGAGGAAAAGUUUCUCUCAAAAGAAUUGAGUGGGAGGAUGGUGGAGACUUGAUGAGGUCAUUGAACCGUCACUUCAACUAAUGUGUAGCAGGGCACAGGAAUUUGUUCCUGUGGCACCUACACCAAUUGAAGUGGAAGCUUAUGAUAGUGAUCAUGAAAUUUCAGAUCAAGUCACUACCAAACCUCAUAGGACGACAAGGAUGCAUACUACUUCAGAGUGGUACAUAAUCCUGUCUUGGAAGUCAUGUUGCUAGACAACAAUGAACCUACGAGCUAUGGAGAAGCGAUGGUGGGCCCGGAUUCCGACGAAUGGCUUGAGGCCAUAAAAUCCGAGAGGAUCCAUGUAUGAAAACAAAGUAUAGACUUUGAAAGAACUACUUGAUAGUCAUAAGGCUGUUGGGUACAGAUGGAUUUUAAAGGGAAGACAGACAAUGAUGGUAAGUGUCACCAUUAAGAAAGCUUGACUUGUCGUUAAGAUGUUUUCCGGCAAGUUCAAGGAGUUGACUGCGAUGAGACUUUCUCACUCGUAGCGAUGCUAAGAGUCUGUUAGAAUUAUAUUAGCAGUUACUGCAUUAUUUAUGAAAUCUUGCAGAUAGGAUGUCAAAACAUUGUUUCCUCGACGAUUUUCUUGAGGAAAGGUUGUAUGUGAUACAACCAGAAGGUUUUGUCAAUCCUGAAAGAUGCUAACAAGUAUGCAAAGCUCCAGCAAUCCUUCUAAGGAUUGGAGUAAGCAUCUCGGAGUUGGAAUGAACGCUUUGAUGAGAUGAUCAAAGAUUUUGGGUUUAUACAAGGUUCAUGAGAAACUUGUAUUUCUAAAGAAGUGAGUGGGAGCACUAUAGAAUUUUUGAUGAGUAUAUGUUGUUAACAUAUUGUUGAUCAGAAAUGAUGUAGAAUUUCUGGAAAGCAUCCAGGGUUAUUUGAAAAGUGUUUUUUAAUGGAAAACCUGGAUUAAGCUACUUGAACAUUGAGCAUCAAGAUCUAUAAGGAUAGAUCAAAAACGCUUAAUAGUACUUUCAAAUGUUAACAUACCGUGACAAGAUUUUGAAGGAGUUCAAAAUAGAUCAGCAAAGAAGGAGUUCUUGGCUGUGUUACAAGGUGUGAGUAUUGAGUAAGACUCAAGACCUAACCACGGCAGAAGAGAGAGAAAGGACGAAGGUCGUCCCCUAUGCUUUAGACGUAGGCUCUACAGUAUGCUAUGCUGUGUACCGCACCUGAAGUGUGCCUUGCCAUGAGUUAGUCAAGGGGUACAAUAGUGAUCCGGGAAUGGAUCACAUGACAGCGGUUGAACUUAUCCUUAGUAUCUAGUGGACUAAGGAAUUUUCUCGAUUAUGGAGGUGGUGAAACAGUUCGUCGUAAAGGGUUACGUCGAUGCAAACUUUGACACUAAUCCGGAUGACUCUGAGUAGUAAACCGGAUUCGUAUAGUAGAGCAGUUAUUUGGAAUAGCUCCAAGUAGUGCGUGGUAGCUACAUCUACAAGAUGACAUAGAGAUUUGUAAAGCACACACGGAUCUGAAUGUUGCAGACCCGUUGACUAAAACCUCUCUCGUAAGCAUAACAUGAUCAAACCCUAGAACUCAUUGAGUGUUAAUUACAUGGUGAUGUGGACUAGAUUAUUGACUCUAGUGAACUUUGAGUGUUAAUCACAUGGUGAUGUGAACUAGAUUAUUGACUCUAGUGCAAGUGGGAGACUGUUGGAAAUAUGCCCUAGAGGCAAUAAUAAAAUGGUUAUUAUUGUAUUUCCUUGUUCAUGAUAAUUGUCUGUUGUUCAUGCUAUAAUUGUAUUAACUGGAAACCGUAAUACAUAGACCACAACAUGUCCCUAGUAAGCCUCUAGUUGACUAGCUCAUUGAUCAAUAGAUGGUUAUGGUUUCCUGACCAUGGACAUUGGAUGUCAUUGAUAACGGGAUCACAUCAUUAGGAGAAUGAUGUGAUGGACAAGACCCAAUCCUAAGCAUAGCACAAGAUCGUGUAGUUCGUUUGCUAGAGCUUUUCUAAUGUCAAGUAUCAUUUCCUUAGACCAUGAGAUUGUGCAACUCCCGGAUACCGUAGGAAUGCUUUGGGUGUACCAAACGUCACAACGUAACUGGGUGGCUAUAAAGGUGCACUACAGGUAUCUCCGAAAGUGUCUGUUGGGUUGGCACGAAUCGAGACUGGGAUUUGUCACUCCGUAUGAUGGAGAGGUAUCUCUGGGCCCACUCGGUAAUGCAUCAUCAUAAUGAGCUCAAUGUUACCAAGUGUUUGGUCACGGGAUCAUGCAUUACGGUACAAGUAAAGUGACUUGCCGGUAACGAGAUUGAACAAGGUAUUGGGAUACCGACGAUCGAAUCUCGGGCAAGUAACGUACCGAUUGACAAAGGGAAUUGUAUACGGGAUUGAUUGAAUCCUCGACAUCGUGGUUCAUCCGAUGAGAUCAUCGUGGAACAUGUGGGAGCCAACAUGGGUAUCCAGAUCCCGUUGUUGGUUAUUGACCGGAGAGUCGUCUCGCUCAUGUCUGCAUGUCUCCCGAACCCGUAGGGUCUACACACUUAAGGUUCGGUGACGCUAGGGUUGUAGAGAUAUUAGUAUGCGGAAAUCCGAAAGUCGUUCGGAGUCCCGGAUGAGAUCCCGGACGUCACGAGUAGUUCCGGAAUGGUCCGGAGGUAAAGAUUUAUAUAUGGGAAGUCCUAUUUUGGCCACCGGAAAAUGUUCGGGAUUUUUCGGUAUUGUACCGGGAAGGUUCUAGAAGGUUCCGAAGUGGGGCCCACCUGCAUGGGGGGACCCACAUGAACGUGGGUAGUGGGGGCAAGGCCCCACACCCCUGGUCAAGGCGCACCAAGAUCCCACCUUAGAAGGAAUAAGAUCAUAUCCCGAAGGGAUAAGAUCAAGAUCCCUAAAAAAGGGGGAUAACAAUCGGUGGGGAAGGGAAAUGAUGGGAUUUAUUUCCCCCACCUUUGCCAACGCCCCAAUGGACUUGGAGGGCAAGAAACCAGCCCCCUCCACCCCUAUAUAUAGUGGGGAGGCGCAUGGGAGCAGCACCCCAAGCCCUGGCGCCUCCCUCCCUCCCGUGACAUCUCUUCCUCCCCGCUUGCGCUUGGCGAAGCCCUGCCGGGAUCCCGCUACUUCCACCACCACGCCGUCGUGCUGCUGGAUCUCCAUCAACUUCUCCCCCCUUGCUGGAUCAAGAAGGAGGAGAUGUCCCCGCUCCGUACGUGUGUUGAACGCAGAGGUGCCGUCCGUUCGGCGCUAGGAUCAUCGGUGAUUUGGAUCACGACGAGUACGACUCCAUCAACCCCAUUCUCUUGAACGCUUCCGCUCGUGAUCUACAAGGGUAUGUAGAUGCACUCCUCCCCUCUCGUUGCUAGCAUCUCCUAGAUUGAUCUUGGUGACACGUAGGAAAAUUUUGAAUUUCUGCUACGUUCCCCAACAACAAGUGCCAGAAGACUGGACAUUAUGCUAAUGAAUGUCCCGAAGCUAAAAAUGGAAAUGGCAAUGGAAGCUCUGGGAAGAAGCCUAACCCUUUCAAUAAAGUACAUGUGAACCACGUUUACGUGGAGGAGGUUGAAGCACAACCUGAUGCAGUAAUAGGUAAGUUUUUGGUUAAGUCAUUUACUGCACUCGUUCUUUUUGAUACUGGUGCAUCGCAUUCAUACAUAUCAAGGGGAUUGUGGAUAAGUAUAAACUACCCACCAAAGUUCUUAGAACACCUAUGUUAGUAAGUUCACCAGGAGUCGAGUAUAUGGCAAGCCAAGGAUGUUUUCAGAUGCCAUUGUCCAUAGGUAGGCAUGUUUUCCCCUCAGACUUGAUAAUCUUGGAAUCACAAGGUUUGGACGUAAUUUUGGGUAUGGAUUGGCUAUCGAUGUACGGAGGAAACAUCGAUUGCGCCAGUAAAACAAUUUCGCUUACCACCCCAGAAGGAAGAAGGAUUAAGUAUGUAUCCCGGCAUGUGCCGAAGAGGACUCAAGUAAAUUUCUUAUCAGGAGUUGUACAGGAGGAAGUACCAGUGGUGAAGGAUUACCCGGAUGUAUUUCCAGAGGAGUUGCCAGGCAUGCCACCGGAUAGAGACAUUGAGUUUUUGAUUGAGAUUUUGCCAGGCACAGGGCCAAUAUCAAAGAGACCGUACAGGAUGCCCGCAAAGGAUUUAUAGGAAAUUAAGAAGCAGAUUAAGGAGUUACUGGAUAAAGGCUAUAUUCGCCCAAGUUCUUCACCUUGGGGAUCGCCAGUGCUUCUAGUGGAGAAGAAGGAUGGGUCGUUAAGGAUGGUUGUUGAUUAUCGAGGAUUGAAUGAAGUGACCAUCAAAAAUAAGUACCCACUGCCGAUGAUCAAUGAUCUGUUUGACCGAUUACAAGGAGCUAAGGUAUUUUCCAAGAUCGAUCUACGAUCAGGAUACCAUCAGUUGAAGAUUCGAGAGCAGGAUAUACCUAAGACGGCUUUUACCACCAGGUAUGGGCUGUAUGAGUAUACCGUUAUGUCAUUUGGUCUGACUAACGCACCUGCCUAUUUCAUGAACCUGAUGAACAAAGUGUUUAUGGAGUUUUUGGAUAAGUUCGUCGUAGUAUUCAUUGAUGAUAUUUUGGUUUACUCAAAGAAUGAAGAGGAACAUAAGGAGCAUUUGCGUUUGGUACUUGAGAAGCUCAGAGAACAUUGGUUAUACGCCAAGUUCAGCAAAUGUGAGUUUUGGUUGAAGGAAGUUGGAUUCCUCGGACACGUUAUAUCCGGAGAAGGAAUAGCAGUAGACCCCACCAAGGUUGUCACUGUGAUAAAUUGGGAAUCACCCACAUCAGUUGGAGAGAUCCGGAGUUUUCUUGGACUUGCAGGAUACUACCGGAGGUUCAUUGAGAAUUUCUCGAGGAUUGCUAAGCCCAUGACAGAACUGUUGAAGAAGGACACCAAGUUCAAUUGGACUGAGGAAUGUGAAGCUAGUUUCCAAGAGUUGAAGAAACGUUUGGUUACAUCACCAGUGUUGAUUCUGCCAGAUCAACGCAAGGAUUAUGAAGUAUAUUGCGACGCUUCACGUCGAGGACUUGGAGCAGUGCUAAUGCAGGAGGGAAGAGUUGUUUCAUAUGCUUCACGACAACUUAAAUCCCAUGAGAAGAAUUAUGCCACGCAUGAUUUGGAGUUAGCAGCCGUAGUGCAUGCGUUGAAGACAUGGAGACAUUUUCUCAUCGGAAAUCACUGUGAGGUGUACACGGAUCAUAAGAGUUUGAAGUACAUUUUCACGCAAAAGGAGUUGAAUCUCAGGCAGAGGAGAUGGUUGGAACUCAUAAAAGAUUAUGAUAUGAGAUUGCAUUAUCACCCCGGAAAGGCUAACACAGUAGCCGAUGCGUUGAGCCGCAAAAGUCAUGUCAACACACUCAUGAUCGGAGAAUUACCCAAGAAGUUAGCCGAGGAUCUUCGUGAACUACGUUUGGAAAUAGUUCCGAGAGGCUAUGUAGCAACAUUGGAGAUUCAGUCUACCUUGAUGGAAAAGAUCAGGGAAGCUCAGAAGACAGACAAGGAGAUUGAUGAGAUAAAGAAAAGGAUGAGUAAAGGAAAAGCCAAGGGAUUUUCGUGAGGAUGAGCACGAUACCUUAUGGUUUGAGGACCGCGUUUAUGUGCCCAAUGAUCCGGAGAUCAGGAAGUUGAUCUUGCAAGAGGCCCAUGAUUCGCCGUAUUCGAUUCACCCAGGAAAUACCAAGAUGUAUUUGGAUUUGAAGGAUACUUUCUGGUGGACCGGAAUGAAGAAGGAUAUUGCGGAGUAUGUAGCAGUUUGUGAUGUAUGUCAGAGAGUGAAGGCAGAGCAUCAGAAGCCAGCAGGAUUGCUACAGCCAUUGCCGAUACCCGAAUGGAAGUGGGAUAAACCAGGCAUGGAUUUUAUCACGAGAUUGCCCAGGACUCGUUCAGGCUAUGACUCGAUAUGGGUUGUAGUCGAUCGUUUGACGAAGGUAGCUCAUUUCAUCCCAGUGAAGACCACUUACACCAGUGCUAAGUUGGCAAAGAUAUACAUGACUAGGAUCGUAUGUCUGCAUGGAGUUCCGAGGAGCAUUGUAUCAGAUAGAGGAACCCAGUUUACUUCAAAGUUUUGGAAUUAGUUACAUGAAACUUUGGGUACCAGGCUAGAGUUCAGUACAGCCUUUCACCCACAGACAGACGGACAGACCGAGAGAGUCAAUCAGAUUUUGGAGGACAUGCUGCGAGCUUGUGCGCUAGAUUAUGGAUCUAGUUGGGACGACAAUUUGCCGUAUGCAGAGUUUUCUUACAACAACAGUUACCAAUCCAGUUUGAAGAUGGCCCCUUUCGAAGCUUUGUACGGAAGGAGGUGUAGAACACCAUUGUUAUGGGACGAAGUUGGAGACCGCCAGUUGUUUGGACCAGACCUGAUUAAAGAAUCGGAACGGAAGGUGAAGUUGAUUCGCGAUAGACUCAAGGUAGCCCAAUCCAGGCAGAAGAGCUAUGCGGAUUCAAAACGUAAGGAAACAGUUUAUGAAGUCAGAGACAGAGUUUAUCUUCGAGUAUCACCACUUCGAGGAGUAAAGCACUUUGGAGUUAAGGGAAAGUUAGCGCCAUGUUUUGUAGGACCAUACAAAGUUUUGGAGCGUAUGGGAGAAGUUGCUUACAAGUUGGAAUUGCCCGAAGGAUUGUCGGGAGUUCACGAUGUGUUCCACGUUUCCCAGUUGAAGAAGUGCCACGCAGAGAUGGCUGAGAUAUCGCUGAGAGAUACAGUGCCACUGGAGGCGAUUCAGUUGGAUAGUGAUUUAACUUAUGAGGAGAAACCAGUCAAGAUUCUUGAGUAUGCCAGCCGAGUCACCCGCAUUAAGGUUAUCAAGUUUUGCAAAGUUCAAUGGAGCCACCACACCGAAGAUGAAGCCACCUGGGGGCGAGAGGAAGAUCUACGGAAGGACCACUCUCACCUAUUUUCUAGCCAACCCGAAUCUCGAGGGCGAGAUUCCUCUUAAGGGGGGUAGGUUUGUAACAUCCCAAAUUUUCAAUUUGGAAUGUUAUACAUUAGAUCAUCAUUGCAUAUCAUAUUUUAUUGCACUUUGGCUAGAUCCUAGAAAUUCUACGCAACUCAAGGACCCACAGGAGAGAGUUGGGGAUUUCGUUAUUUUCAAAUUUGGGUUUUCUCAAAUUUUGAAAAUAGGAUCAUUUGAUUUUAUUUAUUUUAUCUUCAAUUAUUCCAAUUAUAAAAAUAUGAGAGAGGGAAUAAAAUGAAUUUCCCAAAAUAAAGGAAUAAUGAGGAUUUAAUAAAAAAUUCAAAUAAGAUUUUAUUUUGGAGUUUUUCGUUAUUAUAUUUGGAUAGGAAAAAAUGCGCGUUUUUCAAAAUUGCAUUUAGGCCCCAAAUAAAUGUUCAUCUUGUCCGGCUUGAUUUUAGAAGUCGGGGAAAAUUUAUUUCGAGAUUUUUGGAGUUCGUUUAGUAUUUCUUUUGUUUGUUUUUCUGCACGUAUUUAUUAAAAAAAACGAAACCGACUAUGGGCCGUGUUCGGCCAGGACUCCGCCUGGCCGGGUCCUUUAUAAGUCGCGGCCCGACCCCGCCGUUGGCCCAAGCCGCCGCCGCCCCCGAACCCUAACCCUAGCCCGACCCCGCCGCCCGCUGGAUCCGCCGCCGCCGNNNNNNNNNNNNNNNNNNNNNNNNNNNNNNNNNNNNNNNNNNNNNNNNNNNNNNNNNNNNNNNNNNNNNNNNNNNNNNNNNNNNNNNNNNNNNNNNNNNNNNNNNNNNNNNNNNNNNNNNNNNNNNNNNNNNNNNNNNNNNNNNNNNNNNNNNNNNNNNNNNNNNNNNNNNNNNNNNNNNNNNNNNNNNNNNNNNNNNNNNNNNNNNNNNNNNNNNNNNNNNNNNNNNNNNNNNNNNNNNNNNNNNNNNNNNNNNNNNNNNNNNNNNNNNNNNNNNNNNNNNNNNNNNNNNNNNNNNNNNNNNNNNNNNNNNNNNNNNNNNNNNNNNNNNNNNNNNNNNNNNNNNNNNNNNNNNNNNNNNNNNNNNNNNNNNNNNNNNNNNNNNNNNNNNNNNNNNNNNNNNNNNNNNNNNNNNNNNNNNNNNNNNNNNNNNNNNNNNNNNNNNNNNNNNNNNNNNNNNNNNNNNNNNNNNNNNNNNNNNNNNNNNNNNNNNNNNNNNNNNNNNNNNNNNNNNNNNNNNNNNNNNNNNNNNNNNNNNNNNNNNNNNNNNNNNNNNNNNNNNNNNNNNNNNNNNNNNNNNNNNNNNNNNNNNNNNNNNNGCCGCCCGCCGACCCCGCCGGAGCCGCCGCCCCUCGCCGAGGUAGCCGCCAGAGUUGUCGCCGCCGCCGGCGGUUUUCUCUGGAAAACCGCCCGGUUUUUUUUAAAAAACUACGGUUGUUUUUAUUUUAUUUUUGAUUGGUUUAGUUUUUUCUUUUUUCUCGGUUUAGUUAAUUAGCGAGCGUUCGCUCGUUCGUUCGUUUUAAUGAACGUGUUCAUCGUUUAGUUACAGUUAACGAACGUUCGUUCGAUAAAUUGUUCGUCAGUUUUUCUUUUUCUCGGAUUUUUCGCGAUUAUUCCAAAUCGCGAUUUCUGAUCCGAUUUUCGUUCUAGUAUAUCUUUUCGCUCGUUUAUCGGAAUCAGGCGAUUCAAGCGCCUAGUGUUUCGUCUCGAAAUUCUCUUUCCGUUUAACUAACUCAAACAAGUUUUUGCUACUAUAAAAUUUGACUUAGAUCCAGAUUAGAAAACGAAGCUUGUUUCUUUCGCCGUUUGACUUUCGUUGCUUCGUUUGAUUUGAUUCUUUUUGCAAACCGGAGUUCUUAAGUUGAACUUUCUGGUUAGAUCUUUUAUUUGAGUUUUACCAGUGCAUUAGUUGAGUGCUUACUGUAUGCUUGUUUGUUUGCGAUAGAGUACCCGGAGUGCGCCGCUUGCUACUUCGAAUCUCUAGGUUUCACGGAUCAUCAGCCAGGCAAGUAACACUUUGAUCAUACCUCUUUACUACCCAGUUUUAUUGCAUUAGACCAAUCCUCAAACAUUGCAUGAUUAGGAUCUAAUUAAAUUGUGGGUAUUGGGAAGUAGAUGAGGUAGUACCUAUUACCUGUUUUGUUAUCAAACCUUUGGGAGUUACUUCUGCGUUUGCUCAUAUUGCUAUGCUAUGCUAGUAGACGUGGAUUGGGUGAGUGUAUCCAUGACAGAUGUGAGAUUGUUAAUUUAAUGGUUUACUUAAGGUGGCAACUUAAACACACAUCUGGGUGGAUUGAGGCACCUGGGUAUUCCAGUGAUUGCCUGUUUUCUUUUUGACCGCCACCCAGGCUCAAAGGGAUCAUGAGAUUAUUCAUGCUAGAAACUUCCGUGUGCAGCCACAAGCUAUUAUGGGCUCUAGCAUAGUUGAAUAAGUUGUGUGAACUCUUACAGUGGUAGACUAGCAAAUGUAGGGGAAAGUAGGUGUAACGGUCUACCCGAUCGUAAGGUGCAAACACUUCUGAAAGACUAUGUCUCGGUCAUCCGUCACUCAAACACCAUGUAGUGCGAGUAAUCCAACGGAGGAGAUCGAGUCUUGUGGGGAAAAGUGCACAAACCUCUGCAGAGUGUAUAAACUAAUCAUGAUUAGCCGUGUCCUCGGUUAUGGACAUCUUGAGUAUCUAGUACUUGGAUUAUCAUGUGAAUCUCAUCAUGUUACUCAAAUUAAUUUUGUUGGGUUAAGGAUGAUACUUAAUUGGGAUUGAGAUGCUGUCAACCAUUCUCAAUGUUUAACAACCACCAUGAUAGUUAAAUAAAAUUUAUUCCUUUGCAGUAGGAAAAAAUUGGCUUUUUCGCAAAACUGUAACCAUAGAGCUUAACACCAGCCAAAUAUGCAUGUAGUAUAGCUUUAUUCUGUUCAUUACUCUCUAUGUGUUAUUUUGCCAGCAUAUUUCAUGUGCUGACCCGUUCUCGGGCUGCAACGUUUCAUGUUGCAGACUUUUCAGACGACGAGUAAGGUGCCUUAGGUCGUGGUCUUAUACUCAGUGAUGCCGUUGGAGUUGAUGGACUCACUUAUCUUCCAAGCCUUCCGCUGUUAUCGUUUUAGAUGGCCUUAAGCCAUAUUUGUCAUACUUAUUUCUCUUUUGAGAUACUCGAUGUAAUAAGUGUGUGAUUGCUAAUCUGUUAUAAAUCCUCCAAGUACUGUGCGUGUCAGCAUUACUGAUCCAGGGAUGACACUGGUGCAAGGUAGAUCAGACUGUUUGAGGUCUGAUCGCUACAUCGGCUUAACGGCUGAACGGGUGGCCAUGGUAAAGCUGCCCAGCCGAAGGGUUCGGCCCGAGGCCAGGGCUCCUCCGGAAGUGAUACUGUCCUUGAUAACAAGGCGAGCCAUCAAUCCUGUCUUCGAUGCCACAGAGGAACUCUCAAUGAAAUCACCAAUGUCGGUGUCAAAACCGGCAGAUCUCGGGUAGGGGGGUCCCGAACUGUGCGUCUUAGGAUCGAAGGUAACAGGAGACGGGGACAUGGUGUUUACCCAGGUUCGGGCCCUCUUGAUGGAGGUAAUACCCUACUUCCUGCUUGAUUAUCUUGGAUGAAUAUGGGGUUACAAGAGUUGAUCUACCUCGAGAUCGUAAUGGCUAAACCCUAGAUGUCUAGCCUGUACGGUUAUGAUUAUGAUCAUGAGAGCCUCUACGGACUAAACCCUCAGGUUUAUAUAGACACCGGAGGGACCUAGGGUUGUACAUAGUCGGUUUACAGAGGAAGGAAUAUUCAUAUCCGAACGCCAAGCUUGCCUUCAACGCAAAGGAGAGUCCCAUCCGGACACGGGAGAAGUCUUCUGUCUUGUAUCUUCACGGCCCGUUAGUCCGGCCCACGUCACACAGACCGGACACCCGAGGACCCCUUAAUUCAGGACUCCCUCAGCAACCGAACCUUUAUAAACAAGGUUGGGGCUAUCUCCACAACUUAAUUGGAGGCUCCCAAUGAUACCACGAAGCUUCACCACAAUGGAUUGUGGCUCUGAGGAUACCUCUUCCAUCUAGGGUGUCAAACACCCAAGAGUAACAAGUUGAUGAUGAUGUAGAAGUCGGGGAACGCAAAUCGGUUUGGUGGAAGUGUAGAUCGGGGGAACCUCCUUCUAUCCUCAAAGUAUUGUGAAGUUUGGGUGGUUGAGGAGGGAGAUCUCAAGCUUUUGGUGAUUUGGGAAUGGAGGAGCAAAGCUUGGGCAAAGGUUAGGGUUGGGAGGAAGAAGAAGGGGGUAUAAAUACUCCCACGGGAUAUUUGCCCGUUGAGCAGCCGCCGCCCCGGGUACCCAGCCUAAAGGGGCCCGGGCACCCGGACAAAACAGAGGAAAGUAGAGUAGUCCGGGCACCCGGGGGGUCAAGGCCCCAGGCACCCAGAGUGGACAGGGAAUGCGCAAAGACAGGGACCGGGCACCCGGGGGCUGCAAGCCCCGGGCACCCGGAGCAUCCAGAGAGGAGGCGAAGGGCGCGAGGGAGGGGCCGGGCACCCGGGGGUCCCAAACCCCGGCACCCGCACCAUGCAGGGGCGGUGAGGAGGAGGCGGGCAGGGGGCCGGGCACCCGGGGGUCCCAAACCCCGGGCACCCGCACCGGGCAGAGACCGGGAGGAGGUGGCGGGCAAGGGGCCGGUCACCCGGGGGCCCCAGACCCCCGGCACCCGCACCAAACAAGGAGGGGCGAGGUGGAGGCGGCGAAGGACCCGGGCACCCGGGGCACUAGACCCUGGGCACCCGCACCGAUCAAAGAGGAGCAAGAGGUGGUGGAGACGAGAGGGAGGAGGCCUCAGCAAAAGAAGAAACUCCCGAUAAAGCCCGAAGCGAAUAAAAUAGAAGGAAGAGAGAAGUUUGAGUUCCCCAACCCUGAGAUAAUAGCAACCCCCUUGAUAGUACGGAUGUUCCUAUGACUCAAAAAGAAAUCGAAAAACUUCUCGAGCCGACAACGAACACCGUCUUUUCUCUCUUUGGCCUUUAUAGGGUUACCGACGUCCGUCGACGUACAAGAGGCGAUAAUGUCCUGAAAUAAACUUGACAAACGACAUUAGUCCUCGCAAAUCAUAUUGUGAUCAAUCAUCAAAAUGUAAUUGAGUGACAAUUGCACUUUCAAUCUCCCCCUUUCUGGUGAAUUGAUGACAAUAUGAUUCACACAUGACAACUAUUAAGAAGGACAUAUAACUCAAUGCCAUGCAACACUGUUGAUGUAGAAGGCUCCCCCUUGAUGUGUGCAUAUUUUAAAAUAUGCUAUGAAUCCAUAUCACAUCAUCAAGCGGCCCCCCCUACAUCAAUAACCAAGUGCAACCUAAUAAAUGUAACCGAGAGGAAUAAGUUGCACAAACUAGUUUGAGAUCAAAGAAAAAUAAAUGACACGGGAGCUAAAGAUCUCAAACCAAAGUACUCACAACCACAGAACAAAAAAGACACAUAAAAGCAUUGCAAACCUGUAGAAGAUCAAAGAAAAGGCAAGGGCUUGCAAUCUCUCCAAGCACAAGGCGAAUCCUAAUAGAACACUUCUCCCCCUUUGGCAUUGAGACACCAAAAAGGGAAACGGCGAUGCUACCGAAACACCCUAAACGUGAGGAGGGGCACUGGCGACGUCAUCAUCUUCAUCCUCAGGAAUGUAGGCAAGGCAAGGGUUGGAGUAGGCCGUGGCAGCACUGUCGGUGUCCUCAGGCCCCCUAGGCUCGGUCACCCCAGACUCAUGCUCUCUGGCAGCCUUCAACUGUCGCAUCUGACUCUUGCGGAAGUUGGCUCCACCAUGCUACCUCUUGAGCACUGCGUUGGUUUUCCCUUGAAGAGGAAAGGGUGAUGCAAAAGUUUAUUAGCCCUCGAAGCGAAGUACUACUAUGCAUGCCCCUAGGGGGAUAGAUUGGUAGGAAAAGACCAUCGCUCGUCCCCGACCGCCACUCAUAAGGAAGACAAUCAAUAAAUAAAUCAUGCUCCGACUUCAUCACAUAACGGUUCACCAUACGUGCAUGCUACGGGAAUCACAAACUUUAACACAAGUAUUUCUCAAAUUCAUAACCACUCAGCUAGCAUGACUCUAAUAUCAUCAUCUUCAUAUCUCAAAACAAUUAUCAAGCAUCAAACUUCUCAUAGUAUUCAACACACUCAUAAGAAUUGUUUUUACUAAUCUUGGAUGCCUAUCACUUUAGGACUAAUUUUAUGAUUGAAGCAAAUUAUCAUGCUGUUUUGUAGGACUCUCAAAAUAAUAUAAGUGAAGCAUGAGAGAACAAAAGUUUCUAUAAAACAAAUCCAACAUGCUCUAAAAGAUAUAAGUGAAGCACUAGAGCAAAAACUAUAUAGCUCAAAAGAUGUAAGUGAAGCACAUAGAGUAUUCUAAUUAAUUCCGGAUCAUGUAUGUCUCUCUCAAAAGGUGUGUACAGCAAGGAUGAUUGUGGUAAACUAAAAAGCAAAGACUCAAAUCAUACAAGACUCUCCAAUCAAAACACAUAUCAUGUGGUGAAUAAAAAUAUAGCUCCAAGUAAAGUUACCGAUGGACGAAGACGAAAGAGGGGAUGCCUUCCGGGGCAUCCCCAAGCUUUGGAUUUUUGGUGUCCUUAGAUUACCUUGGGGUGCCAUGGGAAUCCCCAAGCUUAGGCUCUUGCCACUCCUUGUUCCAUAAUCCAUCAAAUCUUUACCCAAAACUUGAAACUUCACAACACAAAACUCAACAGAAAAUCUUAUGAGCUCCGUUAGCGGAAGAAAACAAAACACCACUUCAAGUUACUGUAUUGAACUCAUUCUUUAUUUAUAUUGGUGUUAAACCUACUGUAUUCCAACUUCUCUAUGGUUUAUAAACUCUUUUACUAGCCAUAGAUUCAUCAAAAUAAGCAAACAACACACGAAAAACAGAAUCUGUCAAAAACAGAACAGUCUGUAGUAAUCUGUAACUAACGCAAACUUCUGGAACUCAGAAACAUCUACCAAAAUAGUACGACCUAGACAAUUUGUUUAUUGAUCUACUGCAAUUGGAAUAAAUAUUUUAUCACGUUCUGGUGAUUUUUAACAAUUGUUUUCGUGAACAGAAAGUUUCUGGAAUUUUCAGCAAGAUCAAAUAACUAUCAUCCAAGAAGAUCCUAUAGGUUUAACUUGGCGCACAAACACUAAUUAAAACAUAAAAACAAAUCUAACCAGAGGCUAGAUCAAAUAUUUAUUCCUAAAAAGAAGCAAAAAGCAAAAAACUAAAAUAAAAUUGGGUUGCCUCCCAACAAGCACUAUCGUUUAAUGCCCCUAGCUAGACAUAAAAGCAAGGAUAGAUCUAGGUAUUGCCAUCUUUGGUAGGCAAUCCAUAAGUAGCUCUCAUAAUAGAUUAAUAUGGUAAUUUUAUUUUCUUUCUAGGGAAGUGUUCCAUACCUUUCCUUAAUGGAAAUUGGAAUCUAAUAUUCCCUUCCUUCAUAUCAAUAAUUGCACCAAUCGUUCUAAGGAAAGGUCUACCAAGAAUAAUAGGACAUGAAGGAUUGCAAUCUAUGUCAAGAACAAUGAAAUCUACGGGCACAUAGUUCCUAUUUGCAACAAUAAGAACAUCAUUAAUUCUUCCCAUAGGUUUCUUAAUAGUGGAAUCCGCAAGGUGCAAUUUUAAAGAACAAUCAUCAAAUUCACGGAAUCCUAGCAAAUCACACAAGGUUUUUGGAAUCGUGAAAACACUAGCACCCAAAUCACACAAAGCAUAGCAUUCAUGAUCUUUAAUUUUAAUUUUAAUAGUAGGUUCCCACUCAUCAUAAAGUUUUCUAGGGAUAGAAACUUCCAACUCAAGUUUUUCUUCAUAAGAUUGCAUCAAAGCAUCAACGAUAUGUUUAGUAAAAGCUUUAUUUUGACUAUAAGCAUGAGGAGAAUUUAGCACAGAUUGCAACAAGGAAAUACAAUCUAUCAAAGAGCAAUUAUCAUAAUUAAAUUCCUUGAAAUCCAAAAUAGUGGGUUCAUUAAUAUCUAAAGUUUUGACCUCUUCAAUCCCACUUUUACCAAUUUUUGCAUCAAGAUCUAAAAACUCCGAAUUUUUAGGACGCCCUCUAGGUAAAGUUGGCUCAUCGUCAGUCCCAUCAUUAUCAAGAUUCAUAUUGCAAAACAAAGAUUUAAUAGGAGACACAUCAAUAACUUUUAGAUCUUCAUCUUUAUUUUCACAAAAAAAUUCCGGCUUAGCGGCCAUCUUAUUAACUAAGGUGGCCUGCUUAUCUGAAAGUUCAGCUAUUAAUUUUUCGAGAUGAGCAAUCUGAGAUUUCAAACCAUAAAAUUCUUUAGACAUAUCAUCGAGCUCUUUAUUCAUAUAUCCCAUAAAGCUUUUUUGUUCCUUAAGCUUGUUCCUAAAGAAAUUAUUAUGCUCAAAUUGUAAAGUCAUAAAACUCCUGACGUUGCUUUCUAUCUCUUCUAACCUUUUAAAUUGAAGAUCACCAAAUCUAGGUAGAGCCGUCGUGACAAGCAAGCAAUCCAACACACAAGCAAACAAGAAACAAGCGAAAAAAAGGCGAACGGAAAAGAGAGGCCAAAUAAAACGGCAAGGGUGAAGUGGGGGAGAGGAAAACGAGAGGCAAAUGGUAAAUAAUGUAAUGCGAGGGAUAAGAGUUUGUGAUGGGUACUUGGUAUGUCUUGACUUGUGCGUAGACUCCCCGGCAACGGCGCCAGAAAUCCUUCUUGCUACCUCUUGAGCACUGCGUUGGUUUUCCCUUGAAGAGGAAAGGGUGAUGCAGUAAAGUAGCGUAAGUAUUUCCCUCAGUUUUUGAGAACCAAGGUAUCAAUCCAGUAGGAGGCCACGCGCGAGUCCCACGCACCUACACAAACAAAUAAGAACCUCGCAACCAACGCGAUAACGGGGUUGUCAAUCCCUUCACGGUCACUUACGAGAGUGAGAUCUGAUUGAUAUGAUAAGAUAAUAUUUUUGGUAUUUUUAUGAUAAAGAGUAAAUAAAGAUGCAAAGUAAAAUAAACGGCGACAUAAAUAGCUAGUUGACGGAAGAUUAAUAUGAUGGAAAAUAGACCCGGGGGCCAUAGGUUUCACUAGUGGCUUCUCUCAAGAUAGCAUAAGUAUUACGGUGGGUAAACGAAUUACUGUCGAGCAAUUGAUAGAAUUGAGCAUAGUUAUGAGACUAUCUAGGUAUGAUCAUGUAUAUAGGCAUCACGUCCGUGACAAGUAGACCGAAACGAUUCUGCAUCUACUACUAUUACUCCACACAUCGACCGCUAUCCAGCAUGCAUCUAGGUAUUAAGUUCAUAAGAACAGAGUAAUGCUUUAAGUAAGAUGACAUGAUGUAGAGGGAUAAACUCAUGCAAUAUGAUAUAAACCCCAUAUUUUUAUCCUCGAUGGCAACAAUACAAUACGUGCCUUGCUGCCCCUGCUGUCACUGGGAAAGGACACCGCAAGAUUGAACCCAAAGCUAAGCACUUCUCCUGUUGCAAGAAAGAUCAAUCUAGUAGGUCAAACGAAACUGAUAAUUCGAAGAGACUUGCAAAGAUAACCAAUCAUACAUAAAAGAAUUCAGAGCAGAUUCAAAUAUUGUUCAUAGAUAAUCUUGAUCAUAAACCCACAAUUCAUCGGAUCUCGACAAACACACCGCAAAAAAAGAUUACAUCGAAUAGAUCUCCAAGAAGAUCGAGGAGAACUUUGUAUUGAGAUCCAAAGAGAGAGAAGAAGCCAUCUAGCUAAUAACUAUGGACCCGAAGGUCUGAGGUAAACUACUCACACAUCAUCGGAGAGGCUAUGGUGUUGAUGUAGAAGCCCUCCGUGAUCAAUGCCCCCUCCGGCGGAGCACCGGAAAAGGCCCCAAGAUGGGAUCUCAUGGGUACAGAAGGUUGCGGCGGUGGAAAUAGGGUUUUUGCUCCGUAUAUGGUGUUUCCAGGGUAUAUGGGUAUAUAUAGGAGGAAGAAGUACGUCGGUGGAGCAACGUGGGCCCCACGAGGGUGGAGGGCGCGCCUGGGGGAGGUGGGCGCGCCCCCUGCCUCGUGCUCUCCUCGUUGAUUGCUUUACGUAGACUCCAAGUCCUCUGGAUCACGUUUGUUCCGAAAAUCACGUCCCCGAAGGUUUCAUUCCAUUUGGACUCCGUUUGAUAUCUUUUUCCUUCGAAACACUGAAAUAGGCAAAAAAACAGCAAUUUGGGCCGAGCCUCCGGUUAAUAGGUUUGUCCCAAAAAUAAUAUAAAAGUGUAUAAUAAAGCCCAUUAAACAUCCAAAACAGAAUAUAAUAUAGCAUGGAACAAUAAAAAAUUAUAGAUACGUUGGAGACGUAUCACACCACUUGACGCCUUGCGGUGGACUGGCACAUCUUGAGCAAGUUGUUGAACCCACGAAACAACAUGUUCUUCUCCUUCUUAGAAAAAGAAGGCGAAGAUGCAAUAGUGUGAGCAAGAGCAGUGGGAUCUUCUGAAGCAGCACCUCGUGAGGAGGAACCGCCAACCUCAAUAGCCCGAGCAGCAGCAGAAACCUUCGCAUGCCUAGGCUCCUUGCCCACCAAAGGUAACAGAUCCUCAUGAACUGGUGGCUUGUAGAUGACAUGCCUCUUGCACAAAGUGAUGGGAAACUUGUGCAAGAGUCGGUCUUUGUCACGAAUCUUCAUCUCAAUGAGAGCCUGAAUGAACGGAGGGAACACACAGGACUUCUUAUCAUACACACACGACUUCAUCUCCUCAUACAUGAAAUUGAGAACAUCCACUUUCCGUCCUUCAUGAGCAUAAAUGAGCAGGUUAAUGGUAGUGCACCAGAGCGUAUCAGAAGAGCCUGUCUUGGGAGCCAAUGAGGUAUGGAGGAUCUGGUGAAGGGCGGCAUACUUGGGCAGCAAACCAUGAAUAGUGCCCACCAUAGAAUCUGGAGUACCCGGCUUAUAUGCAAAAGCAAGAGCCUUCUUGGUGCGACUAUGCUGAACAACAGUGGCAAAAUCAUCCCGAGGCACAGGAAAGAAGGUAUAACCAGUGAUAGAGGCCAAGUCAGCCAUAAACCCACGAAGAGUAGAGCCACCGGAUCGCCAUAUAAAUGUACGAUCAGAGCCAACCUCGAAGUAGACAGUGGCGUAGAACUGCAUAAUGAGCUCCUCAUUGUAUGCCUUGUUGAAACGCAGAAACGGAAGCAAUCCCAUCUUAUCAAGAGCCUCAAACACACCAGGGAAUAGAUCAUCGUGAGAACGAAUGUACUCAAGAUCCACACUGCGAUGAGGAGCCACCUUGUACUUCUUGAUCUUCAGGAUCUCAUCAAAAGUGCGACUUUGAAACUCGUUCCAGAACUUCCAAUCAAUACCAUCAUCACGGCCAUGAGCAUAAGGAUUCUCAUUAUGAACUUGCCGAUACUCAGCCUUAGAGAGCUUGUUGAGAUCAUCAUUGGCUAAGGGAUCAAAUUCCUGAUCAACUUCUUCAUCUUCCUCAGUAGCAUCACCAUCAUCAUCUUGAGCUUCAGCAAACUUGGCCACGAACUACUCUUCUUCAUCGUCGUCACUGCUAGAUGCCUCUGUGAUGGGAUUGCGAGCAGCCUAGCGGCGAGCACGACCUUGGGGGGGCAAUCUUGGAACACUGCCCAGUGCGUUCCGUAGGAACAAGCGUGCCUUUACCUCCAUCAUCUUUCUUCUUCUUAGCGCGACGAGCACCAACAGACCCACCAGACGAGUCUAAAAGCAAAGACAAGAUACUGAGGAGGGAUGAGUGCAAGAGUCCAUGCAGCAAAGCGAAAAGAAAGAAGAAGAAUAAAAAAAGAGAAAACGGCCGGGCACCCGAGGGGCUAAGUCCGGGCACCCGGGAUGCCGCCCAGCGGAUGGCCGGGCACCCGGCCACUACGGACCAGGCACCCGGGGUGGGAAGGGCGAAUCCCAGGAGACGGCCCGGGCACCCGGUCACGAAGGGACAGCCCGGGCACCCGGUCGAAGGCCGGCCGGCACCCGGAGACACCACAGCCGCGGUGCACGGUGCGCGCGCGACUCCCACCGCUCAAACAACAACAACAAAAAAGAACUAAAACUAAACUACUAUGCAAACCUAGAUCAAAUCAGACCUAAACAUGAACAAGCUAGAUUUGACCAAAAAACGAGGAAGAUACCAUAGGAAGCCAUGGAGGGAAGGGGAGGAACUCCUGGGAGGGAGCUCCGGGCGCCCGGAGUGGCUCCAGCGGCGACUGGCGGCGAAGGGCAGGCAGUGACGGCUGCGGGUGAGGGGGGAAAUGGGGAGAAAACCCCUAGCCCCGCCCCCUCGUGCCUGACUUACAGAGGCCGAGCGGCCCGAUCCCGUCCGGGUGCCCGGACCAAAAGUGUCCGGGUGCCCGGAAUGCCCAGAGAGUUUCUUUUUGAAGAGAAAAAAAAGAAGGACGAACAAACAACGAGAGCAUGAUCAAACGGGACUCUUUCAAGGGUGAAAGCAUGUCUUUGGGAUAGAGAGGGGCUUGGGAUGGAUCGCAAACAAUGUCAAACAAACAAAUAUACUCAUAAGUGCAAGAACCAAACAACCGGAUCCACAUAUGAGUGCAAAGAAAGCGAGAGAAAGGCGAAGAAAACCAACAACAACCAACUCUAGUAGCUAACUCUCAAAUAAGAGGGUGGUGGCUGAAGCCACCUAUGUUUGAGUCAAUUGGUAUGGCACCGCGAAGAUUUUAACCUUGGGCCCAUGACCAAAACUCAUCUUUGAAGCACAAGUACCAUCCAAAAAUGGCUAAUGUGAAAGACUUGAUCGAUUUAUGCAUAAUGGGGGGAGGGAGAGUUCAUUGAGAGAACAACACUCCCCUAUGUCCAUGCCUACACGUAAACAAGACAUCAAGAUGAGUAUGGUGGGGUGUGCAAAGGUUCAAGCCACAUUGCUCAAAUCAAUGACAUUUAGCUCAUGCCUUAACUCGCGAAAUCUUGCUUCAUCCAUAGGCUUCGUGAAAAUAUCUGCAAGCUUAUCAUGAGUGUUGACAUAGUUGAGCUCGAUCUCCCCUUGCCUAAUGUGAUCCCGGAUGAAGUGAUACCAAAUCUCAAUAUGCUUCGUCUUGAAGUGUGGCACCGGGUUGAGAGAAAUCUUGAUGGCACUUUCAUUGUCACACCAAAGAGGCACUUUGUCACAAAUGACACCGUAAUCCUUUAAAGUUUGCCUCAUCCAUAGAAGUUGAGCACAACAACUACCGGCGGCCACAUACUCCGCUUCGGUGGACGAGAGAGACACACAACUUUGCUUCUUAGAAGACCAACUCACCAAAGAGCAACCAAGAAAUUGGCACCCUCCGGAAGUUGACUUCCUAUCCACUUUGUCUCCCGCCCAAUCUGAGUCCGAAAAGCCCACAAGGCUGAAGUUAGCUCCUCUUGGGUACCAUAAGCCAAAGUUUGGGGUAUGAGCCAAAUAUCGAAAGAUUUGCUUGACCGCCACAUAGUGGCUUUCCUUAGGUGCGGCUUGAAACCAUGCACAAAUUUCCACACUCAAUAUGAUAUCCAGUCUAGAUGCACAAAGGUAAAGCAAGGAGCCAAUCAUGGAGCGAUAUACCUUUUGAUCCACCGCUUUACCAUUGGGAUCUAUGUCAAGUUGGCAUUUGACGGGCAUUGGAGUGGAAGCCGGCUUGACAUCAUUUAGCUUGAAUCUCUUGAGCAUGUCUUGAGUGUAUUUGGCUUGGUUGAUGAAGGUUCCUUCUAUUCUUUGUUUGAUUUCAAACCUGAGAAAGAACUUCAACUCUCCCAUCAUGGACAUCUUGAACUUCGAGGUCAUGAGAGCGGCAAAUUCCUCAUUGAAAGCUUUGUUAGGGGAACCAAAGAUAAUAUCAUCAACAUAUAGUUGGCAUACAAACAACUCCCCUUUGACCUUCUUAGUAAAAAGAGUGGGGUCGAUUUUCCCAAUUUCAAACCCACGAUCUUGGAACAACUCAGUAAGGUGCUCAUACCAUGCACGUGGGGCUUGUUUAAGGCCAUAGAGUGCCUUAUCGAGUUGGUACACAUGAUUGGGGAACUCGGGAUCCUCAAACCCCGGGGGUUGUUUGACAUAUACCAACUCAUUAAUAGGACCAUUAAGAAAAGCACUCUUCACAUCCAUUUGGUGCAACUUGAAGUUAUGAUGAGAAGCAUAGGCAAUCAACAAACGAAUAGAUUCAAGGCGAGCAACGGGAUCAAAGGUUUCACCGUAGUCGAUACCCUCGACUUGGGAGUAGCCUUGUGCUACCAAAGGAGCCUUGUUGCGAACGAUAAUCCCAUGAGAAUCUUGCUUGUUCUUGAAUAUCCACUUGGUUCCAAUGACAUUAUGGUUCCCCUUUGGCCUUGGCACCAAUCUCCACACCUUGUUGUGCUCGAAGUUGCUGAGCUCUUCAUGCAUGGCAUUAAGCCAAUCCAGAUCCUCGAGCGCCUCAUAGACCUUUUGGGGUUCAACACAAGAAACAAACGCGUGAUGUUCACAAUAGUUUGCCAAUUGUCUACGAGUGCUUACCCCCUUUCUUAAGCUUCCAAGCACAUUCGUCAUGAGAUGAUCUUUGGUAGUGAGCUUGGAUGCAAUCUUGGCGGAACGACGCUCCAAUUCGUCCUCAGGCGAGAGUUGAGGAGCGGUAACUUGAUCAUCUUGAGCGUCGUCUUGAGCUUGUUCUUGAUCUUGAGCUUGCUCUUGAUCUUGAACUUGCUCGGUUGUGAGAACUUGACCCUGGGCAUCACUUGGUGGUUCACCACCAUCUUGAGGUUGAUCUUGCCCUUGGUCUUGUUCAUUUGGUUCAGGGCCUUCACUUUGUUCUUCGGAAGCGUGUGGGUCUAGGGUUGGUGAUGGUUCCACUUGAGUGGAACAUUGUCCUUCUCCUUCGGCCAUAAGGGGUUCCUCAAUGGGUAGGAUAUGACCAACACCCAUUCUUCUUAUGGCUUGGGGAGGAAUUUCAUCACCUACAUCACAAGUACCACUUUGCUCCACUUGGGAGCCAUUAUUCUCAUCAAACUCCAUGUUACACGUCUCCUCAAUGAGUCCGGUGGACUUGUCGAGGACACGGUAAGCAUGAGAGUUUGUAGCAUAACCAACAAAUAUGCCCUCAUGAGCUCUAGCCUCAAAUUUAGACAAACGAACACAUUUCUUGAGAAUUAAACACUUACACCCGAACACCCAGAAGUACUUGAGGUUGGGCUUGUUGCCGGUGAGUAUUUGCUACCUCUUGAGCAUUGUGUUGGUUUUCCCUUGAAGAGGAAAGGGUGAUGCAGUCAAGUAGCGUAAGUAUUUCCCUCAGUUUUUGAGAACCAAGGUAUCAAUCCAGUAGGAGACCAGGCGCGAGUCCCACGCACCUACACAAGCAAAUAAGAACCUCGCAACCAACAUGAUAAAGGGGUUGUCAAUCCCUUCACGGUCACUUACGACAGUGAGAUCUGAUAGAUAUGAUAAGAUAAUAUUUUUAGUAUUUUUAUGAUAAAGAGAAAUAAAGAUGCAAAGUAAAAUAAACGGCGCCAGAAAUAGCUUGUUGACGGGAGAUUAAUAUGAUGGAAAAUAGACCCGGGGGCCAUAGGUUUCACUAGUGGCUUCUCUCAAGAUAGCAUAAGUAUUACGGUGGGUAAACGAAUUACUGUCGAGCAAUUGAUAGAAUUGAGCAUAGUUAUGAGACUAUCUAGGUAUGAUCAUGUAUAUAGGCAUCACGUCCGUGACAAGUAGACCGAAACGAUUCUGCAUCUACUACUAUUACUCCACACAUCGACCGCUAUCCAGCAUGCAUCUAGGUAUUAAGUUCAUAAGAACAGAGUAAUGCUUUAAGUAAGAUGACAUGAUGUAGAGGGAUAAACUCAUGCAAUAUGAUAUAAACCCCAUAUUUUUAUCCUCGAUGGCAACAAUACAAUACGUGCCUUGCUGCCCCUGCUGUCACUGGGAAAGGACACCGCAAGAUUUAACCCAAAGCUAAGCACUUCUCCUGUUGCAAGAAAGAUCAAUCUAGUAGGCCAAACGAAA